CUGGAGUUACUAGUAAUCGCAGAUCAGAAUGCUGCGGUGAAUGCGUUCCCGGGUCUUGUACACACCGCCCGUCACACCACGGAAGUUGGGGGCGCCCGAAGCCACUUAGCUAACCCUUUUGGGAAGCGAGUGUCGAAGGUGAAAUCAAUAACUGGGGUGAAGUCGUAACAAGGUACC
rnacentral:rRNA from 1 species